GAACCUGCCUGUUGGACAAUGCUCUCAUCCGGGAGAACAUCUCAGAUUUAGGGCUGCCUUGAUUUUCUUGUGCAGCCCCUGGUCAGGCUUCAUCGCUCCCUCCCCUGGCUGGUGGGAACUCAACGGGGAGUUCACUCAUGCUGGCAGAUGAGGACUGUCUGGCCACUGACUGUCUGUGGAAAAGGGACCAGGAUGCUGAGUGAAAACCAAACAGAUCUGUACCCGGACCACCAGAAAGCUGCAAGAAGCCAGAUGCAACUCUGCAGUCAUGGUGUGAGCUGCUUUGGAGCUGAGGGGUCUGACCAUGAUUGCACGGGUGGGUAAAGCCUUGCAGGAGUCACACAGCUCAGAAAGACAACGAGAGUUUGGUUAAAAGUUCAAGGACAAACUCUUCAUCAACUUGAAUAACUGCUGAGACUUGGGCAAUAAAAUUCCAGUUGAAAGAUAUGUCAUUUUUACAUUCAGAUGUGGCUUCUUGCAUUAUACAGAAUAACAUAUUAUUAAUUAGAAGAAAUACAUAUGACUCCCAGUGAUCUAACUGCAUAAAUAUUUUAACCAAAUGUA